rnacentral:misc_RNA from 1 species
CUUCCUCCAUUAACAAAUAUAUCCAAGCAAUUAGUUAUCAUCAAACAACGAUGAUAUGACAAACAUGUGACGUUUAUGUAGCAAUACACGAUGGACAUGGUGCUUUCACCCACAUGACACUUAUGUGGCAUUAAUGUGUCGCUCAUGUGUUGCCACAUUAGCACCACACUAACAUCAUUUAAUAGUAAAUAACAAUUUGAACCAUAUUUNGUUAAUGGAAGAAAACAAAGGUACCAAAUUAAUAAAAAUUAAACCACGAUGAAUCAACUGAGGAAAACACAGGUAUCAGCACUUAAUCAUGAAUCAACUGGGAAUAGUAGCCAAGCU